UACGGGGGGGGGCAAGCGUUGUUCGGAAUUACUGGGCGUAAAGGGCUCGUAGGCGGCCAACUAAGUCAGACGUGAAAUCCCUAGGCUCAACCUAGGAACUGCGUCUGAUACUGAAUGGCUUGAAUCCGGGAGAGGGAUGCAGAAUUCCAGGUGUAGCGGUGAAAUGCGCAGAUAUCAGGAGGAACACCGGUGGCGAAGGCGGGUCUCUGGGCCGUAACUGACGCUGAGGAGCGAAAGCAUGGGGAGCGAACAGG
rnacentral:rRNA from 1 species